GCAGCCCGCCCCCGCGGGCCCUAACGUCCCGGCCCGACCGAGCUGCCAGGACGCCCAGGCGGGAGGGACCGGGAGGAGAAGGGCAGCCUCCCCUCUCGGUCCUGCCCAGUAUUAGGUUCCCAGAACGCUCUGGAAGAGACAGAGAGGGAGAGGUGGAAAUAGAGCCAAGGGAAGGGAAGAACUCCGUGCGAUUUUCCUCGUCUGAAAACCGCAUGAAGAUGAAAUCGGGGUCCUGGCGCUGCUGAAGUGAGUAAGCAGCCCCUGUGCCUUUUGGCACUUGAACAUCUCUCCCUGGGCUUUCUGUGGAUUCCAAGGAUGCAACUGGUGAGUGCUUUCACCACUGGUGCCACCGCUCCCCCACCCCACCAGGCAGGCCCCACAUUUGGGGGCCCCAUCCCAACAGGUGACACCACAGCAACUACAGUUGAGUGUGUCACACACCUCGGGGCACUUCAGCCAGACAACUGAAGAUUUAUUCUCUUCAGAGGGUACAAAAUAUCUUUAGCCACAUGAUCAACCAGUACAGGGAGGUUGAGCAAGAAGCGGGGGAGGCACAUUUCGGUGAAGUCUUCUCAGUGAGCACUGGCAUGACGGCCAGGCACAGGGGCUCUGGAGGGAGACGGCCUGGCUCUGAGUGCUGGCGCCCACCAUCACCGGGCUCGGGCCCAGGGAAAGUCAGCUCAGCCUUUCAGUGCCCGAGUGUUCUCGUCUGCAACAAGGGUGGUCAGGACCUACACGCUCUCAGGGUUGUUACGUGCACUAGAUACGCUACACACGGUACAGUACCGAGGAACUGUGUGCGGGUCACACAGUGAAGCUCUGAGAAAGCUGCUAGUAGUAUGAUACUUAAGACUUUGGUUUCCACUUCUGACUGUAC